UGGUGGAAAGUUUUUUCGGUACGAGAUGAGCCCGCGGCCUAUCAGCUUGUUGGUGGGGUAAUGGCCUACCAAGGCGUCGACGGGUAGCCGGCCUGAGAGGGUGGACGGCCACAUUGGGACUGAGAUACGGCCUAGACUCCUACGGGAGGCAGCAGUGGGGAAUAUUGCACAAUGGGCGCAAGCCUGAUGCAGCGACGCCGCGUGAGGGAUGACGGGCUUCGGGUUGUAAACCUCUUUCCACAGGGACGAAUUUUUUUGUGACGGUACCUGUAUAAGAAGCACCGGCUAACUACGUGCCAGCAGCCGCGGUAAUACGUAGGGUGCGAGCGUUGUCCCGAAUUACAGGGCGUAAAGAGCUCAUAGGUGGUUUGUCGCGUCGUCUGUGAAAUUUCGGGGCAUAACUCCGGGCGUGCAGGCGAUACGGGCAUAACUUGAGUGCUGUAGGGGAGACUGGAAUUCCUGGUGUAGCGGUGGAAUGCGCAGAUAUCAGGAGGAACACCGAUGGCGAAGGCAGGUCUCUGGGCAGUAACUGACGCUGAGGAGCGAAAGCAUGGGGAGCGAACAGGAUUAGAUACCCUGGUAGUCCAUGCCGUAAACGGUGGGCGCUAGGUGUGAGGGUCUUCCACGACUUUCGUGCCGUAGCUAACGCAUUAAGCGCCCCGCCUGGGGAGUACGGCCGCAAGGCUAAAACUCAAAGGAAUUGACGGGGGCCCGCACAAGCGGCGGAGCAUGUGGAUUAAUUCGAUGCAACGCGAAGAACCUUACCUGGGCUUGACAUAUACAAGAUCGGCGUAGAGAU
rnacentral:rRNA from 1 species